rnacentral:rRNA from 1 species
CAGCCGCCGCGGGAAUACAGAGGGUGCGAGCGUUAAUCGGAUUUACUGGGCAUAAAGCGUGCGUAGGCGGCUAAUUGAGUCGGAUGUGAAAUCCCCGAGCUUAACUUGGGAAUUGCAUUCGAUACUGGUUAGCUAGAGUGUGGGAGAGGAUGGUAGAAUUCCAGGUGUAGCGGUGAAAUGCGUAGAGAUCUGGAGGAAUACCGAUGGUGAAGGCAGCCAUCUGGCCUAACACUGACGCUGAGGUACGAAAGCAUGGGGAGCAAACAGGAUUAGAGACCCCCGUAGUCCCUGUCUCUUAUAC